GAUGAACGCUGGCGGCGUGCCUAAUACAUGCAAGUCGAGCGGUAACAGGCUCUCACGAUUUACUUAACUCUUCUUCGGAAGAAACACGUACACAAUGAAACUAGGGGAAGGCUCCCUGAAACUACUUGUGUCCAGUUGAGUGAGGCGUGAGAGUGCUGACGAGCGGCGGACGGCUGAGUAACACGUAGGAACGUACCCCAAACUGAGGGAUAAGCACCAGAAAUGGUGUCUAAUACCGCAUGUGGCCUUCGGGCUAAAGCUCCGGCGGUUUGGGAACGGCCUGCGCAUGAUUAGCUUGUUGGUGAGGUAAUGGCUCACCAAGGCGAUGAUCAUUAGCUGGUCUGAGAGGAUGACCAGCCAGACUGGAACUGAGAACGGUCCAGACUCCUACGGGAGGCAGCAGUAGGGAAUUUUCCACAAUGGGCGAAAGCCUGAUGGAGCAACGCCGCGUGCAGGAUGAAGGUCUUCGGAUUGUAAACUGCUUUUAUAUGUGACGAUUAUGACGGUAGCAUAUGAAUACGGAUCGGCUAACUCCGUGCCAGCAGCCGCGGUCAUACGGAGGAUCCAAGCGUUGUCCGGAAUUACUGGGCGUAAAGAGUUGCGUAGGUGGCAUUGUAAGUAAAUAGUGAAAGCGUUCGGCUCAACCGGAUAAACAUUAUUUAAACUGCAAAGCUAGAGGACAAGAGAGGUCACUGGAAUUCCCUGUGUAGGAGUGAAAUCCGUAGAUAUAGGGAGGAACACCGAUGGCGUAGGCAGGUGACUGGCUUGUUCCUGACACUAAGGCACGAAAGCGUGGGUAGCAAACGGGAUUAGAUACCCCGGUAGUCCACGCCGUAAACGAUGGAUGCUAGCUGUUAGAGGUAUCGACCCCUCUAGUAGCGAAGCUAACGCGUUAAGCAUCCCGCCUGUGGAGUACGAUCGCAAGAUUAAAACAUAAAGGAAUUGACGGGGACCCGCACAAGCGGUGGAGCGUGUUGUUUAAUUCGAUGGUAAACGAAGAACCUUACCCAGGUUUGACAUCCCGAGAAUUUUUCCGAAAGGAAAAAGUGCUUUAUUGAACUCGGUGACAGGUGUUGCAUGGCCGUCGUCAGCUCGUGUCGUGAGAUGUUUGGUUAAGUCCAUCAACGAGCGCAACCCUUGUGAUUAGUUGAAUUUUUCUAAUCAGACUGCCCUGGCAACAGGGAGGAAGGAGGGGAUGAUGUCAGGUCAGUAUUACCCUUACAUCUGGGGCUACAAACACGCUACAAUGGCCGGUACAAAGGGCAGCCAAAGCGCAAGCUGGAGCAAAUCCCAUCAAAGCCGGUCUCAGUUCGGAUUGGAGGCUGAAACUCGCCUCCAUGAAGUCGGAAUCGCUAGUAACGGUAGGUCAGCUAUACUACCGUGAAUACGUUCCCGGGUCU
rnacentral:rRNA from 1 species